GUGGGGAAUAUUGCGCAAUGGGGGAAACCCUGACGCAGCGACGCCGUGUGAGGGAAGAAGGCCUUCGGGUCGUAAACCUCUGUCAGAAGGGAAGAACCGCCGGGGGAUGAAUAAGUCCUCGGCCUGACGGUACCUUCAGAGGAAGCGCCGGCUAACUCCGUGCCAGCAGCCGCGGUAAUACGGAGGGCGCAAGCGUUAAUCGGAAUUACUGGGCGUAAAGCGUGCGUAGGCUGUUUGGUAAGUCAGGCGUGAAAGCCCUCGGCUCAACCGGGGAACUGCGUUGGAUACUGCCGGACUCGAGUCCCGGAGAGGGUGGCGGAAUUCCUGGUGUAGGAGUGAAAUCCGUAGAUAUCAGGAGGAACACCGGUGGCGAAGGCGGCCACCUGGACGGGUACUGACGCUGAGGCACGAAAGCGUGGGGAGCAAACAGGAUUAGAAACCCGUGUAGUCC
rnacentral:rRNA from 1 species